CCUACGGGAGGCAGCAGUGAGGAAUAUUGGUCAAUGGGCGCGAGCCUGAACCAGCCAAGUCGCGUGAGGGAAGACGGUCCUAUGUAUUGUAAACCUCUUUUGUCGGGGAGCAAAAGACGCCACGAGUGGCCUUCUGAGAGUACCCGAAGAAAAAGCAUCGGCUAACUCCGUGCCAGCAGCCGCGGUAAUACAGAGGUCUCAAGCGUUGUUCGGCAUCACUGGGCUUAAAGCGGGCGGAGGCUGUGUUGUAAGUCGUGUGGGAAAGGCGCGGGCUCAACCCGCGGACGGCAGUUGAUACUGCGAGACUAGAGUAGGGGAGAAGUAAGCGGAAUGCGCGGUGUAGCAGUGAAAUGCAUAGAUAUCGAGAAGAACACUGAUGGCGAAGGCAGGGUCCUGGACAUAAACUGACGCUGAGGCACGAAGGCCAGGGUAGCGAAAGGGAUUAGAUACCCGAGUAGUC
rnacentral:rRNA from 1 species